UUUUUUUUAGUUUCCUAUGAUCCAAAGUAGUCGCUGGAACAAAGUAGAUCUUUAAACACCUGUGUAAGUAGAUUCAAAACAAUAAGAAGUCAUUUAAUUGAUGGAAUGUAGCAUUAUGAAAAAUAUACAACAAAGUGAUUUUGCGUAUGCUGAGUCAUCUAUUUUGGAAUGGAGGGAGUAUGUUUGACACAUUCUACCACAAAGUGCCUGUCCAAAGGCUUCGGCACUGUGGCUCAUGUAGAAAACUGAAAAUGGCUCAACUGUAGUAGCAUGCAUGUCUAACAUCUUUUUUCCUUUCAUAAAGCAACGAAAGUUCAGAACAUACCAUCUUAAACCGGUGAGCGACUUGGUUUACAUUAUCUCCUAGGUGACCUGAGCUACAAAUUUAUUGUUUCCAUAAAUUAGGUAAAUAAUGUUUGUACAAUGAAUUUUAAAUGUAAAAGCAGCCUAGUAGAAAUUAAGGCAUAAUAUCAUGACGUGUGAAAAAGCUCAAUAAACUACAUCAACACAAGCAAAAUGACAGACAAAAUACAUGAUAAUAUUUUUUCGCCCAUGGAUAUGUACUUCCAAAUAGCUUUAUAUUAACAUCAUAUGCACGUGCUGAAGGAAAAUUUUAAUUAGAUCAACCAAGGCAAAAAUAUAUUGUGUAAGAUCUCAUCUCUUGUAAAAAGAAACUGGCGCAAAUAGAAAGCAGAAAUCUAAGACCAUUUAGGAAAAGAGUUAACCAGUUAAUCGGUAAAAGACAACAAUGUAAGAUGCCAUCAGUUAUAAAAAAACUGAUCAAGGAGCACAUAAAUCACUUCCCGCAGGGCGCCCUCCCCUGCCUCCAUCCUGAGCACCUCCAUCCCGUGAGCACUCAAGCCCUGGAUCCAUAGUCUCGAGCUCGCCCGAGCUCCGCCAUCUCUGCCUCGAGCUCUGAAAUCACCGCUACUAAUCAGACUCUUACUUGGAUACUUAACAAAAAAGAAUCAGAAAGGAAAUUUAUUUACCGAAACAACAUAAUGAAAUAUGAUAUAUAUCGUUCUUUAGAAUGAGAAGCUACAAAAUAGAAGAGGCAUAAGUUUAUAUGGAAGUAUUCAUAUAUCCUAGGCCGGGUUUUUACAGAGCAAUCACGGACAUGCCUUUAUACGUCUAUACAAAAUGAUCUGCGCAAGAAGGCUGCACAUAUGGAAGUAUUCAUAUAUCCUAGGCCGGGUUUUUACAGAGCAAUCACGGGCAUGCUGUUAUACAUCUAUACAAAAUGAUCUGCGCGAGAAGGCUGCUGUAAAAGUAGCAAGGAUUAAAGUAAAAAAUGCAUCACAACAAUUCAUUACUAAACAACGGAAUGAAAUACGAUAGCUAUCAAUCCUGGUAACAGGAAGCUACGAAAUAUAAGACGACCACAUUUAUAUUAUUAUUUUGCGGGUAGAGGAUAACAUUUAUAUGGAAACAUUCAAAUAUCCUAGGUCUGUAUUUUGACCAUGUAAUCACGGAUAUGUCGUUAUACCCCCACCUUCUCCUUUUACUCCGCAUACAAGUUUGGUCAAACUGAAAAAUGGAAAUGCAUUAUGUUUGAACACUGAAACCCCUCCUUGCAAAAGAAUCAAUUAGAGCACCGGUCCUCAUUCAAUCUGAUCUGACUGUGAGCUAUUUUUGUUCUCUAUAAUUUAGCUUGGGGUUUCCACUUGUGUAGAACUGUAACAAAUAAAGCAGGGCAUGUAGCAUGGGUGCAGCUCCUGUGCUGGGCACUAUUGACAUGCUUUGCACACGUAUAACAGGCAUGGGCAAAGGUGAGAGGGUCAUGGUGUACUGCACGGCCUGGAUGUGCACUGUGUGUAUGCGUGAGGCUGUAAAGGAGAACAACAAUGUGUAGCUUCUCGCUUCAGUCAUAAACAGAAAAAUACAAAAACAAACUCAACACAAAGCUAGUGCUGGGGGAAAACCAUCGAGUACCUUGUAUACAUCCUUUCUCUGGUUGAUUCUUGCUAUCGAUUCCUCUACGACGAGCCAAGAUCUGAGUCUCAUGUGUGUCCACAGGGGGAAAACAGAGGCGAGCGAGACUCCAGGCCUGUCAAUCUCCUUCAUUAUCAGCUAAUUUGAAUGGUUGUUGCCAGUAAGUGAAAUGGGAAUUGUACAUCAAGAUUCACGUAGCAGAAACGAAUUACCAGAGGGAGAUGGGUAGUCUGCAAAUGGUACAAAGGAUCUCUUUUGAGCUGAUCUGCUCCAAACGACUGGUUCAAACUGAACAAGGAAAUAAGCAAAUGGACAAGUCAUUAGAAACAACCUUGCGCAAAAUAAUUUGAAACAUCAUUAUGCAGUUUACUGUCAUUAGAAACAACCUUGCAUAAUAGUAUAAUUUAGUUCCAAAGUAUGUCCAGAGAUACAGGGGUACAGAUCUAGUACAUUUUAGUUUCAGAGUAUGGUCCAGAAUCAUACUAAAUCUACAAAACCAGUAUCCUUAUCUGAAAGCACCCACACAGUUCAUUUGAUAGAUGCAUUCAGCGGUAAAAGAAAAAAAGGAUGUUAGCAAAUUAGAGCUGCACACAC
rnacentral:lncRNA from 1 species